UGCCAGUAUUUUUGUUUAGCCAUGUGUUUUGCAAGAUGCUCAUAACAUGGAAUGGUUUUACAUUCUAGGAUUUCUAUUGCUUGCAGGUAGGUUACUGGCUGCACUUGUUUGUGAAUACUUGGAGUGACCACAACUAAGUCACACAAUGAAACUUUACUUUCCAGAGUGUAACCUGCUAGACUUCUGAUAGAAUGAACUGAAAGACUUCUCUAACAAAAGUGGAGCUGAGGGGAGCAAGAGUGUUGAAAGUGGUCCAAUGUUUUUAGAUGUUCUCGAAUGUUAUCUGAAAUAUGAGGUUUAUCUCUUGCUUGAUCAACAAUAGAAGCAAAAAAUCAUCCUUUUGUUUA